rnacentral:rRNA from 1 species
UUGAACGCUGGCGGCAGGCCUAACACAUGCAAGUCGAACGGUAACAGGAAACAGCUUGCUGUUUCGCUGACGAGUGGCGGACGGGUGAGUAAUGUCUGGGAAACUGCCUGAUGGAGGGGGAUAACUACUGGAAACGGUAGCUAAUACCGCAUAACGUCGCAAGACCAAAGAGGGGGACCUUCGGGCCUCUUGCCAUCGGAUGUGCCCAGAUGGGAUUAGCUAGUAGGUGGGGUAACGGCUCACCUAGGCGACGAUCCCUAGCUGGUCUGAGAGGAUGACCAGCCACACUGGAACUGAGACACGGUCCAGACUCCUACGGGAGGCAGCAGUGGGGAAUAUUGCACAAUGGGCGCAAGCCUGAUGCAGCCAUGCCGCGUGUAUGAAGAAGGCCUUCGGGUUGUAAAGUACUUUCAGCGGGGAGGAAGGGAGUAAAGUUAAUACCUUUGCUCAUUGACGUUACCCGCAGAAGAAGCACCGGCUAACUCCGUGCCAGCAGCCGCGGUAAUACGGAGGGUGCAAGCGUUAAUCGGAAUUACUGGGCGUAAAGCGCACGCAGGCGGUUUGUUAAGUCAGAUGUGAAAUCCCCGGGCUCAACCUGGGAACUGCAUCUGAUACUGGCAAGCUUGAGUCUCGUAGAGGGGGGUAGAAUUCCAGGUGUAGCGGUGAAAUGCGUAGAGAUCUGGAGGAAUACCGGUGGCGAAGGCGGCCCCCUGGACGAAGACUGACGCUCAGGUGCGAAAGCGUGGGGAGCAAACAGGAUUAGAUACCCAGGUAGUCCACGCCGUAAACGAUGUCGACUUGGAGGUUGUGCCCUUGAGGCGUGGCUUCCGGAGCUAACGCGUUAAGUCGACCGCCUGGGGAGUACGGCCGCAAGGUUAAAACUCAAAUGAAUUGACGGGGGCCCGCACAAGCGGUGGAGCAUGUGGUUUGAUUCGAUGCAACGCGAAGAACCUUACCUGGUCUUGACAUCCACGGAAGUUUUCAGAGAUGAGAAUGUGCCUUCGGGAACCGUGAGACAGGUGCUGCAUGGCUGUCGUCAGCUCGUGUUGUGAAAUGUUGGGUUAAGUCCCGCAACGAGCGCAACCCUUAUCCUUUGUUGCCAGCGGUCCGGCCGGGAACUCAAAGGAGACUGCCAGUGAUAAACUGGAGGAAGGUGGGGAUGACGUCAAGUCAUCAUGGCCCUUACGACCAGGGCUACACACGUGCUACAAUGGCGCAUACAAAGAGAAGCGACCUCGCGAGAGCAAGCGGACCUCAUAAAGUGCGUCGUAGUCCGGAUUGGAGUCUGCAACUCGACUCCAUGAAGUCGGAAUCGCUAGUAAUCGUGGAUCAGAAUGCCACGGUGAAUACGUUCCCGGGCCUUGUACACACCGCCCGUCACACCAUGGGAGUGGGUUGCAAAAGAAGUAGGUAGCUUAACCUUCGGGAGGGCGCUUACCACUUUGUGAUUCAUGACUGGGGUG